UACGUAGGCAGCAAGCGUUGUUCGGAAUUACUGGGCGUAAAGGGUGCGUAGGCGGCUUUUUAAGUUUGGUGUGAAAUCUCCCGGCUCAACUGGGAGGGUGCGCCGAAUACUGAGAAGCUAGAGUGUGGGAGAGGAAAGUGGAAUUCCUGGUGUAGCGGUGAAAUGCGUAGAUAUCAGGAGGAACACCGGUGGUGUAAACGGCUUUCUGGACCAUAACUGACGCUGAGGCACGAAAGCGUGGGUAGCAAACAGG
rnacentral:rRNA from 2 species